UACAGGGGGUGCAAACGUUGCUCGGAAUUAUUGGGCGUAAAGCGCGCGUAGGCGGCUACUUAAGUCGGAUGUGAAAGCCCCUGGCUCAACUGGGGAAGUGCACCCGAAACUGAGUAGCUAGAGUGCAAAAGAGGGUCGCGGAAUUCCCGGUGUAGAGGUGAAAUUCGUAGAUAUCGGGAGGAACACCGGUGGCGAAGGCGGCAUCCUGGACCAACACUGACGCUGAGUGAGCGAAAGCCAGGGGAGCAAACGGG
rnacentral:rRNA from 1 species